rnacentral:rRNA from 1 species
UGGGGAAUAUUGGACAAUGGGCGCAAGCCUGAUCCAGCAAUGCCGCGUGUGUGAAGAAGGCCUUCGGGUUGUAAAGCACUUUUAUCAGGAGCGAAACGCUGUCGGCUAAUACCCGGCGGAACUGACGGUACCUGAGGAAUAAGCACCGGCUAACUUCGUGCCAGCAGCCGCGGUAAUACGAAGGGUGCAAGCGUUAAUCGGAAUUACUGGGCGUAAAGCGUGCGUAGGCGGUUUCUUAAGUCUGCUGUGAAAUCCCCGGGCUCAACCUGGGAAUGGCAGUGGAUACUGGGAGGCUAGAGUGUGUCAGAGGGUGGUGGAAUUCCCGGUGUAGCGGUGAAAUGCGUAGAGAUCGGGAGGAACAUCAGUGGCGAAGGCGGCCACCUGGGACAACACUGACGCUGAGGCACGAAAGCGUGGGGAGCAAACAGGAUUAGAUACCCUGGUAGUCCACGCCCUAAAGCGAUGCGAACUGGAUGUUGGUCUCAACUCGGAGAUCAGUGUCGAAGCUAACGCGUUAAGUUCGCCG